rnacentral:rRNA from 1 species
ACGGAGGGUGCGAGCGUUAAUCGGAAUCACUGGGCGUAAAGCGUACGUAGGCGGUGUCGUAAGUCGGAUGUGAAAGCCCUCGGCUCAACCGGGGAACUGCAUUCGAUACUGCGAUGCUUGAGUGCCGCAGAGGGUGGCGGAAUUCCAGGUGUAGCAGUGAAAUGCGUAGAUAUGCGGAGGAACACCGGUGGCGAAGGCGGCCACCUGGGCUGAAACUGACGCUGAGGUGCGAAAGCGUGGGUAGCAAACAG